GCGGCCGUGAUCCCCUCGACGCCAGCUUCUCCAGUGUCGGCGGAAUUCUGCACCAACAAGUUCAAAUAAACUUCACAUGAUACUUGACAAUCAAAAGAUCAUUUAUGAUAAAGCUGGUCUUGGAUAUAACCCUUUAAAAAAAAAAAUUUUUGAAAAAUAUCUUUAUAAACUCAUCGUACAAUAAGUUUUCAAAUAUAACUUUCUUUAAAUGUGGUAAAGUAGGACACAAAUCCUAUUCAUAUUUUUUCAACAAAUCUAAAAAUUUCA
rnacentral:lncRNA from 1 species